UUGAACUGAAGAGUUUGAUCCUGGCUCAGAUUGAACGCUGGCGGCAUGCCUUACACAUGCAAGUCGAACGGCAGCACGGGCUUCGGCCUGGUGGCGAGUGGCGAACGGGUGAGUAAUACAUCGGAACAUGUCCUGUAGUGGGGGAUAGCCCGGCGAAAGCCGGAUUAAUACCGCAUACGAUCCAC
rnacentral:rRNA from 1 species